rnacentral:misc_RNA from 1 species
GACCGAGCAUCUAUUUCAUAAAGGUAUUCUCUUAUCCAUCUCCUCAAUGUCCAGACAUACUCUAACGAUCAGUCAGUCGACCCGUGUUUGGCUUGCUGGAAAUUGCAGGAAUUGUGGAGCUUGGAAUUUUUUUUUUUUUCCAUGUUUACUUUGUUUUCAUCUCAUAAGUGUGUUGGCUGUCACAAAGAAUCAGCUAAAUUUAUUCAGGAUUCAGUUGAGUGAUAAAUAAAUAAAUAUUUGAUGUGAAUUUUUUCUUAUUUAGUUAUUUUUAUUCUGUCAAAAUCUUGAAGAUAAUGAGCGCUUUGUUGCUUUGGUUUGAUUGUUAAAUUUUUUCUUCUUUGUGAAAUGUAUCGAUGGUUUCAGGGGAAAUGAGUAGCCGCGCAAG